CUGACAGCUUCCCAAAUUCUCCGAAAAGGACAAAUGCUGAUAUUGACAAUAAUGGAAAAAAUAGAUCGGAAUUUAAGAACGAUGAAAGAGAUUUAAACCAUUCUCCUAGACGAAUGUCCGAACCAAUCGGAACUAACCAAGUAAUACAAUCAUCAACAUCUCGAAGACAAUCGGCACCAGAAAGGCGUGAACAAUCCACGUUGAUAUAUGAGAGACAAUUAAAACUCACUCGGACUCAAGAUUUGUGAGGGACGUUGCUCAAAAGCUAUGAGGGACAGAGGGCCUUCAAAAAAGAUGUUUGAAUGCAAAGAGAGCAAAUAAAGGAAAAAAAAAUAGCCCAGAUGAACAGAGAACACCUCUCACUCCCAAAAAAUAUGAAAGAGUGAAAGAUUGUCUAUAUAUUAAACUCAAGGAAGCUGGUGUAACCGGCCAGCAGCGAAAUAAUAGAAUGCGAAAAGUUUAGAGUCAUUUAAAGUCAAAAAUAUAUGAUGUACGCAGAAAUCUAUGAUAAUUACAAGAGGUUCGGUUUCUAAGAGAAAAGGUAAUUUGUCGAAGCACAUGCGCCCUAGGGUCCUGUUGUCAGAAGCUUAAAGAUCCACUUAUACAUAAUGUUCACUGUGAUGUUUCUUUGUUCAGAAUUUGGCGUUUUUCAAUGUUAAGAAUAGUCUGGGAGAACAAUUAAGUUCAAAAGUGAUUAAUCUUUACUUGACUUAUAGAAAUGACAAAAAAGGCCGACUGAAUAACCCAACAAAUUUUAUAAGAAAAACUUAAGCAUAGAUAAAAAAGAAUCCUGGAAAGGUUCCUUACAAUUUAAAACAUGAGAAUGACAACUCUGUUAAGAUCAUUUGGAGUUGACCCUUACAUUUGAUUAUCUUAAUUACUAUUACUUGGGGUGCCAACUUUAAAUGGCCUCCAACGAGUUGUCAUUCUCAUGCCUUCAAUAAUUGCAUUGCUUGAGUUUUGUUUCUAAGAUUUGUUGGAAUAAUCAAUCGCCUUUUUCAAUUUUUAUAAAUAUAAAGUUAACGAUUAAGUGAUUUUUAAGUUAAAGGCACACCUAGAAAAUCCUUAAAUGGUCGCUACUUAAAAAUUGUGUUUUAUUAUUAAUUUCUAAUUGAAGAGGUUCGUUUUCCCAGUGAGGCUGCGUCUAAGGAUCUUGUUCCUUUGGGUUUAAAAUACGUCAUAAUGCAAUUUUCAUUCAAUUUUAAUUUUGUAGAACACAUUUUAUUCCUUGAAAGGUUCUUCACAAUUCUAU